UCUCCUGGAUAACAUUCGGAGCACCCAGAUUUCAUUUCACGCAAGGCUCUUUCAUGCUGACAGAGUUGCUCAUACUGGGAUGCUGAUAUGGCUCCCAAGCUGUCUGCCUUCCCAUCUGUUUGCUGAGAGUCUUAACUGGAAGAGGAACUGGGAAUGCAGAAAGCAGACUCCCGCAGACAGACAGCUUAGUGAUGUUGUUGCUUUUUAUGGCAUGAUGGACUGGCCUUAUCGUGGCCAUUCUGGCAAAGCUGGCAGACUGAAGGGGGAGAUCUGAUAUGGAUUUUUGUUUUGAUUUCCUCAGACUUCUUAUCUCCGAGUGAGUUGGGUGGAAUCCAGCCACAGACGUAACGUCCAGAGAGGAGACGACACGCUAUGGUUACAGGUUAUCAUCUCUGUUCAGACACGAACGACCCACCUUAGCACCAACUCUUGCAUCAUUCGUCAAGGGCAUUCCACACACACCAGGUCCAGGGAGUGGCUCACGUCAGAUGAUCCUCUUUCUGCUUCACACAACGCCGACAGGGCUGUCGUCAGAGGACUUUACCAGCGGUGUCUGUGAAACCUGAGAGCUGCUGGACAGGUUUCACACUGGGGGGCAAGAGUGGUUUUGCUCCGGGGCUGUCCGUAGUGCUGCCUGCAGGGACUUGGUGACAAGCAUGAAGACCCUCUUAGUCCUGCUUUCCUGCAGAGUGGCAUGUGGAUGACUUUGCCACAAAAACCCAAGGGGUCCUGCUGGCCAGCCUGGCUUCAUUAGUGGAGUUAACCUUCAAAAUGUACUGCUGCCUCCUGCUCUGCCCUCGGGUCUGUUAUGGCUGAGAGGAAGUUGGAGCAAGACUUGUGUCAAAUAUACUGUCAACGUGCUAAACAGGAACAGCUUGGACACAGCCAAGUGGCAGACAAGAGUCCCGCUGAGCAGAGAAAUGUUUGCUAAAUACUACAGGAAGUUAAGUGCCUUCCUUUCAAAUAAAACUGCCUCCUGUCUGGAAGAAAAUGUCUUCAGUUUCAAUCUUAAACUUUUAUUUGAUAACAUGAAAUCAGGGAACUAACUGAAUGAGGACCCAUCUCUCCAGUAGGAGAACUUAUCCCUCAUUUCCACUGCAUGGUAAGGUAUGGUACGGCUCGACUCGACUGCCUUGGAACCAUUCUUUUUUGGUUUUCCAUUGGCAAAAGUUGUGGAUAGUACUGGUACUUUUUUUUCCUUCAAGGUCUCAAGCAAGCUGAGCCGAUACUAAAAGGCAGAGUUAAAACACUGCAGACCACUGAUUGGUCAGAGAAUCGCCACUUGCGCGACACGGGACAUCCUGCACAACCCAAUGCGACGCCAAUUUUUUUAUUCACUUGACCCAGAUUUUAAAGAAUGGCGGUCCGCAAAACCACACUGUGGUCAAUUGAUGAAGUGCAGACGUUCCUUUGUUUGGUUGCAGAUGAAAGGAUCAAGCAAGCGUGUUGCAUUGAAGAUGAUGUCACGGCAGUUUCACACGGCAUUACUACAAUGAUCAGCUUAGAAUCCCGCCUACAUUGAGGAAAAAUACCUGGAACCAAAAGUGAGUCGAGUCGAGCUGAGCCGAACCAUACCAUGCAGUGGAAAUGAGGCUUUAGCUGUGGCUAUAACAUAGCCUAACCUCAUCUACUGAAUGAGUGGCAGUGUUUAUGGGACAUCUCUGUAAGGUAAUGUACCAGCAGUCUCUGAUCAUGGUUUCACGAUGCAAUUUUUGGAUUAGCGGUCACUGGAUGCAAAGACCAUUUGCAAUGUGGCACGGAUGAUAUCACUACAUGAAAGAAUAAAAUAGCUGUCCUAUAUGUAUUAAGUAUACUCAGUAAUCAUGAUGCCCUCCCUCCAUCAUCUUGUACUGGUUUACCUUACUCUGGAGACCAGACUCUCACUCUGAAAUACGGGAAGUAUUAUAUGACCUGAAACUAACUCAAAGAAGCUGUGGAAUUUGUCAAAAUGGAUAUUUAUUGAUGUCAAAUGAUAGAGGCUGGUCUGAAUCAGUCUUUUGGAGUCUAAAUUCAUUAAAUACAAAGAAGACCAGCACUGAAUUAAAGUCAGUUCUAUCUCAUCACAUAUACUCUAGAUCCCUCUUUUAUUAAUGUCCACCCUGCUUUUAUUUCACAGCUAAGUCUUUGAUUUUUAAGAUGAGUCUGCACUCAUCUGGACAAACUUAAAUAGAAAAUGAAGUGAGACCUAAGGUAAUGCUGGCUCACCCAGGUGUCACACUGUUGUUUCCUUAAUUUCCUCUGCAGAGCACCCUUGUGCUCUGUGUGAGGCUGUUUCACCCCCCCCUCUGCUGGCUGGAAACCUGAUGAGGUCCAGAUGUGGUCCAGAUGAGGCCCCUGUCUGAUGCAGGGACCUGAGAGGAGCUGUAGACUCCGGGGGCUUAUCAAACUGCCAUAGGUUCUGCUAAGAUUGAUUUCUGACAUGGAGGUGCAUGUUCUUCCAUAGAUUCAGUGCUUUUACGUUAUUAAAAAGGGGCUUGUUAGGUUGUGCGGCAAAUACUAAUACAUAAUUUACUUGUUUGAAAAGGGUUAUACAAGCUUUUUAUAUUCAGUUUUAAAGCUUUUAUAACUUUUUAUAAUCCAUGAAUUUUCGUAAAAUGUAUGUAUCAUGUAAAUGCUCUC